rnacentral:rRNA from 1 species
CAGUCGCGGUAAUACGUAGGGUGCAAGCGUUAAUCGGAAUUACUGGGCGUAAAGCGUGCGCAGGCGGUUAUAUAAGACAGAUGUGAAAUCCCCGGGCUCAACCUGGGAACUGCAUUUGUGACUGUAUAGCUAGAGUACGGCAGAGGGGGAUGGAAUUCCGCGUGUAGCAGUGAAAUGCGUAGAUAUGCGGAGGAACACCGAUGGCGAAGGCAAUCCCCUGGGCCUGUACUGACGCUUAUGCACGAAAGCGUGGGGAGCAAACAGGAUUAGAUACCCGGGUAGUCCCUGUCUCUUAUACACA